AUUGAACGCUGGCGGCAUGCCUUACACAUGCAAGUCGAACGGUAACAGGUUAAGCUGACGAGUGGCGAACGGGUGAGUAAUGUAUCGGAACGUGCCCAGUCGUGGGGGAUAACUACUCGAAAGAGUGGCUAAUACCGCAUACGACCUGAGGGUGAAAGCGGGGGACCGCAAGGCCUCGCGCGAUUGGAGCGGCCGAUAUCAGAUUAGCUAGUUGGUGGGGUAAAAGCCCACCAAGGCGACGAUCUGUAGCUGGUCUGAGAGGACGACCAGCCACACUGGGACUGAGACACGGCCCAGACUCCUACGGUAGGCAGCAGUGGGGAAUUUUGGACAAUGAACGCAAGUCUGAUCCAGCCAUGCCGCGUGCGGGAAGAAGGCCUUCGGGUUGUAAACCGCUUUUGUCAGGGAAGAAACGAGUUUCUCUAAUACAGAGACUUAAUGACGGUACCUGAAGAAUAAGCACCGGCUAACUACGUGCCAGCCGCCGCGGUAAAAC
rnacentral:rRNA from 1 species